rfam:Methanolobus sp. T82-4 scaffold_20, whole genome shotgun sequence.
CGGGAUCUGUCCCGUGGGAAUGUAGCUUUGAUAUAAGCUGAACCGUGAA